rnacentral:misc_RNA from 1 species
AAGUCGUAACAAGGUUUCCGUAGGUGAACCUGCGGAAGGAUCAUUAAAAAAAGGGUCGCAAGACCUAUUUUUAAACACUAUCGCCGCCUAUCAUCUAUGGGUAGGAUACUCUUGUCUAUGGGUGAGAUGGAGGAGGUAGGGUUUUUUAAAAUCCAAUUAUUAUUAUAAAAUAUAUCGUCUAAUGACAACCAAAAAAAUUUAAAACUUUCAACAAUGGAUCUCUUGGCUCUC